GAGGGUAUAGCUCAGUGGUAGAGAGCAAGCUCAGCAUGCAUGAGGUCUGGAGUUCAAUUCCCAGUACCACCA
rnacentral:tRNA from 1 species